AUUGAACGCUGGCGGCAGGCCUAACACAUGCAAGUCGAGCGGAUGAAGGGAGCUUGCUCCUGGAUUCAGCGGCGGACGGGUGAGUAAUGCCUAGGAAUCUGCCUGGUAGUGGGGGAUAACGUCCGAAACGGGCGCUAAUACCGCAUACGUCCUGAGGGAGAAAGUGGGGGAUCUUCGGACCUCACGCUAUCAGAUGAGCCUAGGUCGGAUUAGCUAGUUGGUGGGGUAAAGGCCUACCAAGGCGACGAUCCGUAACUGGUCUGAGAGGAUGAUCAGUCACACUGGAACUGAGACACGGUCCAGACUCCUACGGGAGGCAGCAGUGGGGAAUAUUGGACAAAGGGCGAAAGCCUGAUCCAGCCAUGCCGCGUGUGUGAAGAAGGUCUUCGGAUUGUAAAGCACUUUAAGUUGGGAGGAAGGGCAGUAAGUUAAUACCUUGCUGUUUUGACGUUACCAACAGAAUAAGCACCGGCUAACUUCGUG
rnacentral:rRNA from 1 species